CACCAUCUUAGUUCCGGGAAUGUACUGCAUAACAACAAUUACACCGGAUCAGUCUACAUUAUGGAUUGUCCACAUCAAUGAACUAUCACUACCUAACACAUGCAAGGGGAUCCUACAUCAUCUAAACAGAACACGAAGAGAUAGUCACAUGAAUUUACGUAGAAUUAUAAAUGAAGAGAUAGUCACAGUCUAAGAAUAAAAGAGUGCUGAUGUUCAGACCCAUACACUUCCACCCGUUCUUUUAUGUGAGAGGUACCACCUAUACACACUUACACUUUAUGCACCGUGUAUAUCUCAACUAUUUUUUUUAUCACUGAGCUCACCUACAUGUCAGCAUGAAUGACUGAUAGGUGAUGAUCUAUGUCUAUCUCUAAUGCUAGUAUAAACCUAGCUCUAAGAAAUCGUGUCAGUCAUGAGGUACAACAAAUAGAGAAAAUUGCAUACCUUCUUGGGGUUCAACAAGUAAUCAUACAAGGUCUUUUCCUCCCAAAUCACAGCCAUGUUCUUGUUAGCAGCAGAGUAUGAGUAUCCAGCACCUGUACCAGA